UUCUCCUCAAAUUUAAACUCGAUUACCGCGGCUUACCGAAACCGUGCCUCCGUGGAGAGCACGGUUACCACGGUAACCGCCGUGGUUUUCGUGGUUUUGCAAACCCUGGCGGCAAGGUCGGCCAGUGAGACGAUGGGGGAUAAGCUUUAUCGUCGAGAGGGAAACAACCUGGAUCACCAACUAAGGCCCCUAAAUGACCGCUCAGUGAUAAAUGAGGUGGGGGUGCAAAGACAGCCAGGAGGUUUGCCUAGAAGGAGCCACCCUUUAAAGAGUGCGUAAUAGCUCACUGAUCGAGCGCCCUUGCGCUAAAGAUGAAUGGGGCUAAGCGAUCUGCCGAAGCUAGGGGUGAAAACGAGACGGAUAUUACCCGUUCGCCCGCCCGCCCGAAUUAAUUCGGGACAAAUUCGGGUCACCAAAUCGGGUAUCUGGAAGAUAAUAUGGAUUUCGGGUCGGGUUCGGGUAUUUUUUUUCUCGGAUACAAAUACAGGUUUGGGAACGUGGUAUCCGACGGAUACGGGUUACCCGGCAAAAAAAACGGUACUACCCAGUUAAAUAUCCAGAUAUGACCCGAAUAGUUAUAGCCCAUCAAAAGCCCAUGUUGCAUUCAUAUACAAUUAAAGCCUAGUAACAAGAAAACAUAUACAUGUACAUUAACUUUAUUUAUACUUCUUGUUCAUAUAUACUAACAUAGUAAUGAUAUAAUUUAAUGAAUCAAUUAUAUUUCCUUACAAGAUUUGCUAAUGCUAGUUGUUACUUCCAUGAUAUAGUUGUAUUUAAGAUUUAUGGAACAGUUGAAUAGCUAUUAUAUAUGUGAUAUAUAUAUAGUUGUUUUGAUUUGAUAUCCGAAUAAGUAUUCGUAACCGUGGUCAUUCAUAUCCGUCUUAGCACGUAUCCGUUCCGCCUUUGUGCCUGAUAUUAUCCGUCUUCGUAUUCGUAUUUGACAAUAUCCGUAUUCGACCCGAUCUCGAAAAGAAAAUAUGGGUUAGGAUACGGGAAGGAUGCUAUCCGACCGUACCCGACCCGGUUUCACCCCUAGCCGAAGCUAUGGGAUAUCAAAAUGCAUCGGUAGGGGAGCGUUCCGCCUUAGAGGGAAGCAACCGCGAAAACGGGUGUCGACGAAGCGGAAGCG
rnacentral:ncRNA from 1 species